CCAAUUGGUCUGAACUAUAUCUUUUGAUUCAGUACUGUCUUUGUUUUCAGUUCUUUUGCUGACCCGCAAGAAAAUGGAUACUGAUUUAGAGAAUGAAUACAAGUGUGUUUGAAAAGUGUCACCGAUAUUUGUGUUUUUUAUAAAUGGAUUGGACCAUCUCUUCUGUUGUGAGUUUUCAUAGAUGGUGAGCUUCAAUUUUCCUUGGACUGGCAAAGGGCAGCAGGGUUAUUUGUUGUAUUUGCCAAUGUGGUACCCAUGCGUUUGCCUUUUUGCUGUGAUUUGACAUCAGUUCCCUAUAUUCAGCACCUUGUGGGAUUUAGAAACAAUCAGGAAAUCAGACCUCCUGUAUCCUGGUAAAGAAGUCCAAGGCACAUGAACAAAGGUAAACUUGAAGCUAGCUUAACAAGGGAUUCUUUGAACCUUUUUUACUAAUGUAAAACAGAAAUGCAUCAAAAAAUUGACUGUUGAUUCAAAACCACUUGAGCUUUGUCCUCUUUCUCUCUGUGAAAUAUUGUAAUGUAACAGAUAUUCUUGCUGUGAUGAGUGACUUCAUUACCAUAAUCUUUUACUUCUUUUAUUGUUCUAAUCUGUCUACUGGAAUUUUAAUUCUCUCAGCAUUUUACAAAAUGCACAGGGGCAAGUCUAUGCCAUUGGAGUACUGGUGGCUCAGUAUUUUUUAAUUUUAUUUUAGCCAAUGGAUUGCACAUCCAAACUGUGUCUAUGUAACACCUGUAACCGUGGCUUUGUAAUGCCUGCCAGUCAGAACCAGUGCCAGAACUGCACACGAGUCUUGGAGCUAGCACAGCUCUGCUCCCACCAGGGAAGCAUCUCUCCAGUCUGCUGUGUUCCUCCCUCUGUCAUCUCCAGAGCAAUUCUAACUCAGACAUGCUUGUUUAACAACAGAUGGAAACGAAGGUGAAGAGGAGGGUAAAGCAUCACAAGAAGUUAAAAAUAUUGUAAUCUGACACAGAAGGAUUGUGCUGCUAACAUUAUGAGACAACACAAUCUGAAUAACAGAACCUGAGCAGCAUUAGCACUGCCUGAAGGGAAAUUCACUCUAUAUCUCCUUCUCAGACAUGCAUAAUGCACGUCUGCUGACUUUUUAAUUCAAAUUUGUCAUUUUCUCUCCCUUGUACUUCAUCGGUAGAUAAAGCAAUAAUUAUGAGUUUUGUGCCAUGUAACUAACUAUAUCAAGUCUUUAAUAGUUUAACUUAACAUCUGUUAGGUCUUUGUGCACCAACACCAUGUAGGAUAUUCUGUGGGCUGUAAUUAUGGAUUUAAAAUAUUGUGUCAAGGGCUAAAGUGACUCUGUAAGGUUCAAAUAUGCCCUGGUAUCAUGACUUACUAUUACUUUACCACAUCUUACUAUUACUAACAUCAACUAGUAAUAUUAAUAAGCCUUACCCAUUUUUAUACUGCCAUUUCUGUGGCAAUUUUCAGCUGAUGGAAGUUCAAUAUGUAUACAAAUGUGUUACCUUCUACUUCAGUCUCAAACAGGAAGACCUGCUUCAGGAGAUCAGUAAGUAAUUACUGUCCAUGGAAUAACCGUGCUUAUUUCACUAAAGCAGAUUUAGUGAGAGCAGACAAGGUGACUUAGAAACUGUUCUUCUGACUACAUGUUAGUUAAGAUUUUUAAAAGUUACUCUAAUAUUUGUGCAAGUACCAGGAGCAGCUUAUAAAAUCAAGGGCUGUGUUUUCAAAUCUAUUGGACAGUCUAAGAAGUUUGUGACACAUGGAGUCCAGAAGUCAGAUAUAUUUGCUCUGUGAGCCAAAUCACCACUUUAAGCUUUUCCCUGGCACUUCGCACAUCCUGUGCUCAUACACUGUUCCAUGAAUGUUAUGCAAAGUGAGUGCUGGUCUUUGCUGUAUUGUAAUAACACAUCAACACAGGAUGUUGUUGGGUACAAGCAGAGAGGUAGAGGGAUAAACAUGAAAUUUUGAAUGAUAGGAUGAUUCAGAUACCUUGGAAGAUCUGGGCUGUGUCUUUUGAGUUAAGCUAUAGACAUUAGUGUCACAAGACUGUCGCAUAUAAACACCAGGUCCAGUUCCAAAUGUCAGAUCCUGAAGUGUUGAUUAUUCGAAGACUUCACCUAUUGACUGUCUUUAUUUUUCACUGGCUCUGCAUCUGCUCAGUCACGGCAAUGUAUCUCCAGUUCUGUCUGGCAGGGCAGGAGAAAAAGGAGAGCAAUGAAUUCUGUAAUUGCUACUAGUCAUCUUCACAAGAGACAAAACAGGGCUUUCAUUUUCCUUCUCUCUGUGUGGAUCCAGCAAUAGCCUUAAUAGUUAGUAACCCUUGACAACUUGUCUAUAACAUCAGAUAUUUUUUGCACUCAUGUUACAAAGUCAUGCUCUUUCUUGGUGGCCUGAUGAUCCAGAAGCCACCUCUCCUCCCUAUUCUUCUCCCGUUUGACAUUUGGCAGCUAGCUAACACAGCAGUGCCUUCAUGGUGUCUCAUGAUCUGCCAUCAUGUAUUUCUUCCCUUUACCUCCCUGCCCUCUCAUAGCAACAUAAGUCUGUUUUCUCUGCCAUGAAAUUUCUUUUAGUUUUGCAUAAUUUGUUAAAAAUUGAGGCACAAGUUUAAGUAGAGUGAAAUGACUAAACCUUGAAAGUACUUGCUAUGAGCUACAAAAAUUCUUCUGUCCUCUUUUGCACGUCUUCUUUAUUUCUAUAUCUGUAUCCCUGGUGAUGAAUGUAUAUAUAGAUAUGCAGUACCUUAGAUAUCGCAGUGUUUGGUUUCAAGUCCUGUGGGUUUUUUUUGUUUGUUUGUUUGGUUGUUUUUUUUCCUAAGGAAACCCUGUUUUUUUAAUGGACAAGGCUGCAUAUUACAAUAAAGCAAAAUAUAAUACUCAUACCAGAAUGUCUGCAAACCCAUCCAAACCAGAGAGGUGUUAUCUCAGUCCAAAAUAUAAAAUAGUUGUUUCUGCUUCUCUCUAUGCCUCAGCUAACAAACCUCUGUUUUCCAUGGAGAAAAUUAAUUUGGAGCAGAGCUGCACCGAUGUGGCUAGAGUACUUUGGGAACCAAUGACAUCUCUUGGGAUGUUCUGUAAGCUUGGACUUGGGAGUCUGUAUUUCCAUUCAUUGUGCCAAGUUUUACAGUGCAUAAGUAAUUCCAAAGGGAACAAAAAGUAGAUUGAAAAAAUAAAGUAAAUUUUCAAGUCAUGUGAUGCAAAGCCAUUUCUCAGUCAGACAUACAUCACCAAGCCUUAGUUAGAGUAAAUCAAUGCAAAUUUACUACUGGAAAUUACACGGCUCUGCAGUUCUAGCGGAUUUAUUAUUAUUUUUGGUUUACUACUUUGUAGAUAACUUCUCUAUUCAGGAAGAGCAGGUUCUUGAGGGGACCUGAGCAGAGGGAAGAACAUAUAUGUCAUCUUCUCACCUCUUAAGGAGUAGAGCUCUGAUCCAAGACAAUGCCUUCAGCUUCCUCCACAGUCAGAAGAGCAACCUCCAAAGAGUGGUUGAUGCCAUCUACAUCAGACCUCCACUUUAGGAUGUGGUGCAUCAUUCUCUGAUGGUGCCUGUCCUUCUCCACCUGUUAUAAAAGAAAUCUGGGAAAGUAACUUCAGACUAGACGUCUCCAUUUUGGACAACUUAAAUUAAGCAAGAAGAAGAGAACUCAGAGCAUACUCCAGCCCUGACUGUACAGAUAGUUGUUCCUGCUGGAAGCUGAGGGCUACAGACCUGCACUGGAACCCUUUACUCAGGGGACUGGCCUAAGUCACAGCCUGCUGGCUUGCUGAUUAGAAUACUGGUGCAGCAACGGGUUCAUGGCCACACACCAUCUUCCUAGGAUAAAGCUGCAGCAAUUGUUUGUGUUAAUAGGAUUAUAAAUUGUGUGAAAAGACACAAAAGGUGCCUGAAAAUGGGAGAUAGAGAGGUGAAAAAAUUAACACAAUUAUGCUGCUCUAACAAUUGAAUUUUUCUUUUAGUGGUCUUAGCUGUUUGGGUGGAACAACAAAGAAUAUGAGUGGCUCUUUAUAUUAUACUUCAGUCUGCACAGACUUUGUGAAUCAUCCACUUUAAGACAUGACCCUAAAGAUGUUUUUGAUAUAUAUCAUGGUAACCAGUACGGGUUACCUUUCUCUUUUCUAUCAUGAUGGUUCAAUCAGAUUUUGCUGCUAUGUAGUGGAUGCUUGUAGUGUUUCUAUUUCCCUGCACUGACACAUUUAAUUUAAACAAAAGUAAUUCCACAUAGUAAAGGGUAUUUAUAAAGAGAGACUGUGAUGCAGAGAAACAUA